rnacentral:rRNA from 1 species
GACGAACGCUGGCGGCGUGCUUAACACAUGCAAGUCGAACGGAAAGACCCGGCUUUUGUGGGGUGCUCGAGUGGCGAACGGGUGAGUAACACGUGAGUAACCUGCCCCUGACUUUGGGAUAACUUCAGGAAACUGGGUCUAAUACGGGAUAGGAGCUCCUGCUGCAUGGUGGGGGCUGGAAAGUUUCGGUGGUUGGGGAUGGACUCGCGUCGUAUCAGCUCGUUGGUGGGGUAGUGUCUUACCAAGGUCUUGCCGGGUGGCCGGCCUGAGCGGGUGACAGGCCACGUUGGGACUGGGAUGCGGCCCAGACUACUACGGGAGGCAGCAGUGCAGAAUAUUGCACUAUGGGCGGAAGCCUGAUGCAGCAACGCAGCGUGCGGGAUGACGGCCUUCGGUUUGUAAUGCGCUUUCGCCUGUGACGAAGCGUGAGUGACGGUAAUGGGUAAAUAAGCUCCGGCUAACUACGUG